rnacentral:rRNA from 1 species
CGAAGCCUGAUCCAGCAAUGCCGCGUGAGUGAAGAAGGCCUUCGGGUUGUAAAGCUCUUUUGUCAGGGAAGAAACGGUGCGGGCUAAUAUCCUGCACUAAUGACGGUACCUGAACAAUAACCACCGGCUAACUACGUGCCAGCAGCCGCGGUAAUAA